rnacentral:rRNA from 1 species
AGGGGAGAACGCUGGCGGCGUGCCUAAUACAUGCAAGUCGAGCGAAUGGAUUAAGAGCUUGCUCUUAUGAAGUUAGCGGCGGACGGGUGAGUAACACGUGGGUAACCUGCCCAUAAGACUGGGAUAACUCCGGGAAACCGGGGCUAAUACCGGAUAACAUUUUGAACCGCAUGGUUCGAAAUUGAAAGGCGGCUUCGGCUGUCACUUAUGGAUGGACCCGCGUCGCAUUAGCUAGUUGGUGAGGUAACGGCUCACCAAGGCAACGAUGCGUAGCCGACCUGAGAGGGUGAUCGGCCACACUGGGACUGAGACACGGCCCAGACUCCUACGGGAGGCAGCAGUAGGGAAUCUUCCGCAAUGGACGAAAGUCUGACGGAGCAACGCCGCGUGAGUGAUGAAGGCUUUCGGGUCGUAAAACUCUGUUGUUAGGGAAGAACAAGUGCUAGUUGAAUAAGCUGGCACCUUGACGGUACCUAACCAGAAAGCCACGGCUAACUACGUGCCAGCAGCCGCGGUAAUACGUAGGUGGCAAGCGUUAUCCGGAAUUAUUGGGCGUAAAGCGCGCGCAGGUGGUUUCUUAAGUCUGAUGUGAAAGCCCACGGCUCAACCGUGGAGGGUCAUUGGAAACUGGGAGACUUGAGUGCAGAAGAGGAAAGUGGAAUUCCAUGUGUAGCGGUGAAAUGCGUAGAGAUAUGGAGGAACACCAGUGGCGAAGGCGACUUUCUGGUCUGUAACUGACACUGAGGCGCGAAAGCGUGGGG